rnacentral:rRNA from 1 species
UUUCCAGAGAUGGAUUGGUGCCUUCGGGAACUCUGAGACAGGUGCUGCAUGGCUGUCGUCAGCUCGUGUUGUGAAAUGUUGGGUUAAGUCCCGCAACGAGCGCAACCCUUAUCCUUUGUUGCCAGCGGUCCGGCCGGGAACUCAAAGGAGACUGCCAGUGAUAAACUGGAGGAAGGUGGGGAUGACGUCAAGUCAUCAUGGCCCUUACGAGUAGGGCUACACACGUGCUACAAUGGCGCAUACAAAGAGAAGCGAACUCGCGAGAGCAAGCGGACCUCAUAAAGUGCGUCGUAGUCCGGAUUGGAGUCUGCAACUCGACUCCAUGAAGUCGGAAUCGCUAGUAAUCGUAGAUCAGAAUGCUACGGUGAAUACGUUCCCG